UUCUCUGUUCAUGUUUAUGACUGUUUGGCAUAAUAUCGCUUCAAUCAUUCGCUCAAAACAACUUAAUGACAGCAAUUGCUAAUUGGGUUUUCAUUCAUUGUGAUUUUGUUAAAAGCUAGUUUGUGUAAGUUGGACUCUUUUCAACUUGGCUUUUUACUGUGGACUCAUUGCUUUGCUGAGUCACAAGCUAUUUUGCAUCUUGUAUUGGUUGCUUUUGAAAAUGGCAUGACUCUGAUUGAGUUCAAAUGGAACAUUGAUAUAUAUUUUUUUUCCUCCUGUCUUUGCUUUUGUGCAUUCUCCCUUUUAAUUAGAAAGUGCAACAAUAUGGCUUUUGCCUCAUCACUGGCCAUGAUCUGAGGGGUCAUUUGGCUUAUGUGAAGAAUCAAAAUUUUAAAAAUCCAUUUUAAAGAUCGUGUUGCUCUACUAUUAUGUUGUUCUAUUAAGUUACUUCUCCAUCAAUUGAUACUAAGCUUCAAAUUUAUGUUUCGGUGGAAUGAUUUAUAGUCAUAAUUCUCUUGGGCUUUUUAUUUUAUUGAAGGUUUAUAAUACAAU